UACGUAGGGUGCAAGCGUUAAUCGGAAUUACUGGGCGUAAAGCGUGCGCAGGCGGUUUUGUAAGUCUGACGUGAAAUCCCCGGGCUCAACCUGGGAAUUGCGUUGGAGACUGCAAGGCUAGAGUUUGGCAGAGGGGGGUAGAAUUCCACGUGUAGCAGUGAAAUGCGUAGAUAUGUGGAGGAACACCGAUGGCGAAGGCAGCCCCCUGGGUCAAGACCGACGCUCAUGCACGAAAGCGUGGGGAGCAAACAGG
rnacentral:rRNA from 1 species